UUAAGCGACUAAGCGUACACGGUGGAUGCCCUGGCAGUCAGAGGCGAUGAAGGACGUGCUAAUCUGCGAUAAGCGUCGGUAAGGUGAUAUGAACCGUUAUAACCGGCGAUUUCCGAAUGGGGAAACCCAGUGUGUUUCGACACACUAUCAUUAACUGAAUCCAUAGGUUAAUGAGGCGAACCGGGGGAACUGAAACAUCUAAGUACCCCGAGGAAAAGAAAUCAACCGAGAUUCCCCCAGUAGCGGCGAGCGAACGGGGAGCAGCCCAGAGCCUGAAUCAGUGUGUGUGUUAGUGGAAGCGUCUGGAAAGGCGCGCGAUACAGGGUGACAGCCCCGUACACAAAAAUGCACAUACUGUGAGCUCGAUGAGUAGGGCGGGACACGUGGUAUCCUGUCUGAAUAUGGGGGGACCAUCCUCCAAGGCUAAAUACUCCUGACUGACCGAUAGUGAACCAGUACCGUGAGGGAAAGGCGAAAAGAACCCCGGCGAGGGGAGUGAAAAAGAACCUGAAACCGUGUACGUACAAGCAGUGGGAGCACGCUUAGGCGUGUGACUGCGUACCUUUUGUAUAAUGGGUCAGCGACUUAUAUUCUGUAGCAAGGUUAACCGAAUAGGGGAGCCGAAGGGAAACCGAGUCUUAACUGGGCGUUAAGUUGCAGGGUAUAGACCCGAAACCCGGUGAUCUAGCCAUGGGCAGGUUGAAGGUUGGGUAACACUAACUGGAGGACCGAACCGACUAAUGUUGAAAAAUUAGCGGAUGACUUGUGGCUGGGGGUGAAAGGCCAAUCAAACCGGGAGAUAGCUGGUUCUCCCCGAAAGCUAUUUAGGUAGCGCCUCGUGAAUUCAUCUCCGGGGGUAGAGCACUGUUUCGGCAAGGGGGUCAUCCCGACUUACCAACCCGAUGCAAACUGCGAAUACCGGAGAAUGUUAUCACGGGAGACACACGGCGGGUGCUAACGUCCGUCGUGAAGAGGGAAACAACCCAGACCGCCAGCUAAGGUCCCAAAGUCAUGGUUAAGUGGGAAACGAUGUGGGAAGGCCCAGACAGCCAGGAUGUUGGCUUAGAAGCAGCCAUCAUUUAAAGAAAGCGUAAUAGCUCACUGGUCGAGUCGGCCUGCGCGGAAGAUGUAACGGGGCUAAACCAUGCACCGAAGCUGCGGCAGCGACGCUUAUGCGUUGUUGGGUAGGGGAGCGUUCUGUAAGCCUGUGAAGGUGUGCUGUGAGGCAUGCUGGAGGUAUCAGAAGUGCGAAUGCUGACAUAAGUAACGAUAAAGCGGGUGAAAAGCCCGCUCGCCGGAAGACCAAGGGUUCCUGUCCAACGUUAAUCGGGGCAGGGUGAGUCGACCCCUAAGGCGAGGCCGAAAGGCGUAGUCGAUGGGAAACAGGUUAAUAUUCCUGUACUUGGUGUUACUGCGAAGGGGGGACGGAGAAGGCUAUGUUGGCCGGGCGACGGUUGUCCCGGUUUAAGCGUGUAGGCUGGUUUUCCAGGCAAAUCCGGAAAAUCAAGGCUGAGGCGUGAUGACGAGGCACUACGGUGCUGAAGCAACAAAUGCCCUGCUUCCAGGAAAAGCCUCUAAGCAUCAGGUAACAUCAAAUCGUACCCCAAACCGACACAGGUGGUCAGGUAGAGAAUACCAAGGCGCUUGAGAGAACUCGGGUGAAGGAACUAGGCAAAAUGGUGCCGUAACUUCGGGAGAAGGCACGCUGAUAUGUAGGUGAAGUCCCUCGCGGAUGGAGCUGAAAUCAGUCGAAGAUACCAGCUGGCUGCAACUGUUUAUUAAAAACACAGCACUGUGCAAACACGAAAGUGGACGUAUACGGUGUGACGCCUGCCCGGUGCCGGAAGGUUAAUUGAUGGGGUCAGCGCAAGCGAAGCUCUUGAUCGAAGCCCCGGUAAACGGCGGCCGUAACUAUAACGGUCCUAAGGUAGCGAAAUUCCUUGUCGGGUAAGUUCCGACCUGCACGAAUGGCGUAAUGAUGGCCAGGCUGUCUCCACCCGAGACUCAGUGAAAUUGAACUCGCUGUGAAGAUGCAGUGUACCCGCGGCAAGACGGAAAGACCCCGUGAACCUUUACUAUAGCUUGACACUGAACAUUGAGCCUUGAUGUGUAGGAUAGGUGGGAGGCUUAGAAGUGUGGACGCCAGUCUGCAUGGAGCCGACCUUGAAAUACCACCCUUUAAUGUUUGAUGUUCUAACGUUGACCCGUAAUCCGGGUUGCGGACAGUGUCUGGUGGGUAGUUUGACUGGGGCGGUCUCCUCCUAAAGAGUAACGGAGGAGCACGAAGGUUGGCUAAUCCUGGUCGGACAUCAGGAGGUUAGUGCAAUGGCAUAAGCCAGCUUGACUGCGAGCGUGACGGCGCGAGCAGGUGCGAAAGCAGGUCAUAGUGAUCCGGUGGUUCUGAAUGGAAGGGCCAUCGCUCAACGGAUAAAAGGUACUCCGGGGAUAACAGGCUGAUACCGCCCAAGAGUUCAUAUCGACGGCGGUGUUUGGCACCUCGAUGUCGGCUCAUCACAUCCUGGGGCUGAAGUAGGUCCCAAGGGUAUGGCUGUUCGCCAUUUAAAGUGGUACGCGAGCUGGGUUUAGAACGUCGUGAGACAGUUCGGUCCCUAUCUGCCGUGGGCGCUGGAGAACUGAGGGGGGCUGCUCCUAGUACGAGAGGACCGGAGUGGACGCAUCACUGGUGUUCGGGUUGUCAUGCCAAUGGCACUGCCCGGUAGCUAAAUGCGGAAGAGAUAAGUGCUGAAAGCAUCUAAGCACGAAACUUGCCCCGAGAUGAGUUCUCCCUGACUCCUUGAGAGUCCUGAAGGAACGUUGAAGACGACGACGUUGAUAGGCCGGGUGUGUAAGCGCAGCGAUGCGUUGAGCUAACCGGUACUAAUGAACCGUGAGGCUUAACCUU
rnacentral:rRNA from 1 species